GAGGGUGUAGCUCAGUGGUAGAGCGCGUGUUUAGCAUGCACGAGGUCUGGGGUUCAGUCCUCGGUACCUCCA
rnacentral:tRNA from 1 species